GGAGGAUUGACCGAGCUCGGCCAAAGGUGCUCGGCUUAGGACCGAGUCCAUAGAGACCUGUCGCAGGUUCAAAUCCUGCAUCCUCCA
rnacentral:tRNA from 2 species